CAGGUGUGGAGCGAUAGCUAUGUGUGGGCGAGCGUGCCGGUAGCCCGUGCGUGGGCGAGCCCGGAAGACUGUCGCUGGACGACAAGGACCGGUUCAGAGAGGACAGCGAUCGACUAGUGUGCAGCAGGUUCGACUGCUUUGUGAUCUUCCGGAAGAGAGAGCUCCGCUUCUUGCUGGAAGACAAAUCCCAAAAGGUGGGGGAUGAACUCCGCCUUCUGCCGAAGUAGCCCUGUCCAGUCUAGGUCUCGGAAGAAACUAUGCUGCUUCACCUCAAAAGCACCACCUAUGGGCAGAAGAUGAGAAAGGGGUAGAUGUCACUCAAGGCAAGCCACCUAGGUCAAUAUGCAACAGGAUAUGCCCUUUCACAUGAGCAUUAAACAAUAUGCAAUUGGAUGGACAGCAGCCUUGCUACUCCAUGGUACAUCAGGAGGGAACAGUUACACUAUAAUACAUUAGGAGGGAACAUGCAUGUCAUGUGAGAAAGCAGUGCUAUGUGACAGCCAAUAGCUUGGUAAGAGCACCUAGAUGCAGCCAUUCCUAAAGGCGGCAUAGCAUAUAAGUUCCUAUGUUUCCUUGCUACACGAGAUAGAAAAAGAUAGAUGAAAUGGCUGGGGCUGAAGCCAAGCACACACAAGGCCUUGAGUUUGAACUCCAACAUGGCUUCAGCCAUACAUUAAGAUGGAAAAAAAAUGUAAAAAAGUGUGAAUGAUAAUAUACACCAUGAGCUUUAGUUAGUUGAUAUUGUAAUCAUUUAAUUAGCUUUAUCUGUAAUAGUCUAUUUAUAAUAAUAUUUACUGUUAACUAAAUUAUAACUGAACCUGGCCUGGAUAAGCCUCUGCCCGGGGACAUGAGUCAGAAGGAGAGCCACUGCCUAGAAUCCCCAGUGAAGCACUAGGGUUACAGGUUCCGUCCCCAGCACCCCACAAAAGCAGUUAUGGACAGACAAACAGAAAGUGGAAGGAAGAAAUGGGUGAAGCUGCACACCUGAAGUCUCAGCUAUGGAGACUGAGGAAGGAGAUGGACUAUUUCAG